UGAGGGAUAGUUCAGUUGGUAGAGCAUAAGACUCUUAAUCUCAGGGUCCUGCAUUUGAGCCCCACGCUGGGCAAAA